GUGGAUACGUCUGAACUUAUAUGGGCAGUGAAGACCACAAAACCUGGAAACAUCAAGUGCCAGUAUGAUGAAAAGCGUCUUAUAAGCGAAAAUUAUAUAAUUUACAACACAACCUUCUUUCACGGAAGGCAAAGGUACAGCAUCAGACUACGGGGAGACUUUGAUCCGGAAGCACCGAACCGGAUGCUUGUCUCAACCUUAGAUAUGGUUCCGUUCAGUGUUGAAACAUUGUUAUAUGAAACACACAAUAAUUCUUGUGGCGUUGUGAAAAUGGAAAUAUUGACUGGUGAAAGAUCUACCCAAUAUGAUCUUCGAGUGAGAGAUGCUUCCGUUACAUUCCGUCUUCCCCGAAGCUGUAGCAGGUGGUUCCAUCGGGUUGCUGGUCAUGGAAGAUGCAUCUACAGCUCAGAGUGUCGUCAGUUGAAAAAAGCGGGAAAAUGAAUGC